rnacentral:rRNA from 1 species
GAUGAACGCUAGCUACAGGCUUAACACAUGCAAGUCGAGGGGUAACGAGAGGAAAGCUUGCUUUCCUUGUCGACGACCGGCGCACGGGUGAGUAACGCGUAUCCAACCUGCCCCCAACUAAGGAAUAACCUUGCGAAAGUAAGACUAAUACCUUAUAAUUUCCUCAGAUGACAUCUGACGAGGAAUAAAGAUUUAUCGGUUGUGGAUGGGGAUGCGUCUGAUUAGCUUGUUGGCGGGGUAACGGCCCAACAAGGCAACGAUCAGUAGGGGUUCUGAGAGGAAGGUCCCCCACAUUGGAACUGUGACACGGUCCAAACUCCUACGGGAGGCAGCAGUGAGGAAUAUUGGUCAAUGGGCGAAAGCCUGAACCAGCCAAGUAGCGUGCAGGAUGACGGCCCUAUGGGUUGUAAACUGCUUUUAUACAGGAAUAAAGUUAGCCACGUGUGGUUAUUUGUAGGUACUGUAUGAAUAAGGACCGGCUAAUUCCGUGCCAGCAGCCGCCGUAA